CUCUUUUACCAUUUGAUGACAUGUGAGAAAGAGUGCUGUCUAUAAACCAAGAAGCAGGCUCUCACCACAUGCUGAAUCUGCAAGUGCCUUGUUCUUGGACUUUCCAGCCUCCAGAACUGUGAGGAAAAAAAUUCUAUUGUUUAUAAGCCACCCAGUCCAAGAGCUGAUAAACUCAAGAGCCAAGAUUCAAGCCCUGAUGGUCUAGAUCCAGAACCAAGGCUCAUUUCUUCUAAACUGAAGAAGUAGCCAUUAUCCCUCCCCCAAUCCAUGCACAACCCAAAUAUGGUAAGCAGUCAAGGAGACACAGUGGUAUCUUGUGAGGCCCUGAAGAAGGCCCCCACACUCAAGUCUUCGGAGCCCCAGCAUGGCACAGAAGAGCAUACAAAAUUCCCAUUCCCUGCUCCCUACACCCAACCUACAUCAAAAGGCUUAGAAAUAUUAGGAGAAGGUCAGUGGAUCAUAAGGGGCAUCGAGGUCGCAGAGGAGGAUGCAGAGUAAAGGUUCUGACAAAUGAAGACCAUUGGAAACUUGGAAAACAGCAAUGAUGCCAAAAGCCCCUACCAUCUGACCCCUCAUACUUUCUACAUAUGAAGACAGCCUCUGGAAUUUAGAUGGCACCUUGCAGAGAAGCAAGGGAGGAGAAAAUCCAGACUCUGUAUCUGAAAUGACCAAGAAAUCAGAAACGAUUGAACGCACCUCGAACCAAGAUGAUUUCUUCCACUAUGCAGAACAGUAGACUGAAAUAGGCACCAGAUCUAGUUAUUCGGAACUCAAGUGACAUACUUGCACAUCCAAAUUGUGAAAUAUGUGCUGAAAAUACCGUAUCACCACCCAUUGUGGGGCCCUCAGGAAUUCAAAAGCAAGGAAACAAACAAAAACACCAAGAAUUUAUUCCACAAUUAGGUAUUUCACAGUGAAUUUUACUCACUGGAAAUGGAACUACCCCCAUCUUUGUACCACAUUUAUUCUUUGACUUUUUUUUUAACUCUUUGCAAGAUUUUAGGGAAAAAACUAUGUGUGAAAAGCAGGAAUGGCAUGUGUGCAAUGAAUUUCAGUCCAUAUAUACAGCAAUAUCUUGUAUUGUUUUCGUGUUUUACAGAGUCCAAGUCAUAUACAUUAACUCAGUAAAUCGUGACAAUAGCUCCAUGAGGUAGGUAUUGUUGAAUUACAGGUGAAGUACUUGAGACUUAGAGAUUAAGUCACAUGUCCAAGGAAACACAGCCCAUGACAAAACUAGGACUCAAAUCCAGGCCCUCUGAUACACAAAAUUUGUAUUCACAUCAUAUACUAUAAAUAAAGAGAGAGACUAAAUUAUUCAUAGUCAACUCACCAAGAGAAAAAGAAAAAUUAGGCCAUUAAAUGUCUCUCCAGUUUUUUCCAUGAAACAGCUUGGAAACUGACUUCUUGACUAUGGACCUGCUCAUCUCUAAGUAGACCCUGAUGAUUACUUCAUUUUUGUAAAGUUAAAUUUCAAACUACAACCCCUUUUUUCAGUUUUUUCCCACAUCUUCAAAUUGUGAACACAAAAUUUAACAAUAUAUGUCAUAGGAAAAAACCUUCACUAGAUUCUAUUGCUCUUGGCACUUCUAAGACAUGAUGCCCAUCUCGUCCAUCCAAAGUAGAAUAUUUAAAUAUGAUUUUAAUGAACAAUAAUGUGCAGCCUGGUAUAUGAUAGGUAUUGCAUUGUCAAAAUUUCACACAAAUUUGUAACAAGAAAGCAGAUAGUUACUGAUAAAUAUUUUGGAUUUAUAUAAUUUUCUUGUUGACAGAAAAUAAGUGGUCCAAACUUUAUAAGUCACAUUCAUCAUAGUUGAAUCCUAAUUAUUUCAGAAAUAGGUUAACUGAAAUUCAGAUGCACAUACCUAAGCAUUUUAGUACCUCCUUAACAUUCAAAGUUAUUCUCUG
ensembl:lncRNA